GAUGAACGCUGGCGGCGUGCCUAAUACAUGCAAGUCGAGCGAACAGACGAUGAUCUUGCUCCUCGGACGUUAGCGGCGGACGGGUGAGUAACACGUGUAUAACCUACCUAUAAUACUGGUAUAACUUCGGGAAACCGGAGCUAAUACCGUAUAAGAUAUUGAACCGCAUUGUUCAAUGGUGAAAUACGGUUUUUCUGUCACUUAUAGAUGCAUCUCCGCCGUAUUAGAUAGUUGGUAAGGUAACAGCUUACCAAGGCAACGAUGCGUAGACGAACUGAGAGGGUGAUAGGCCACACUGGAACGGAGACACAGUCCAGACGCCUACGGGAGGCAGCAGUAGGGAAUCUUACGCAAUGGGCGAAAGCCUGACGGAGCAACGCCGAGUGAGUGAUGAAGGUCUUCGGAUCGUAAAACUCUGUUAUUAGGGAAGAACAAAUGUGUAAGUAACUAUGCACGUCUUGACGGUAACUAAUAAGAAAGCCACGGCUAACUACGUG
rnacentral:rRNA from 1 species